rnacentral:tRNA from 1 species
UCAAUGGAAGUACUCGGCUUUUAACCGACUAGUUCCGGGUU